AAAUGGAUAACAAAAAAAAUACAAACUGCGGUACAAGAUUUCAGGCUAAACACUGAGGGGAUUCGACUGACCUUGGCAGAUACAAAAGUUACAUUU